rnacentral:rRNA from 1 species
UCUGGGACAAGCCCUGGAAACGGGGUCUAAUACCGGAUAACACUGCGGACUGCAUGGUCUGUGGUUGAAAGCUCCGGCGGUGAAGGAUGAGCCCGCGGCCUAUCAGCUUGUUGGUGGGGUGAUGGCCUACCAAGGCGACGACGGGUAGCCGGCCUGAGAGGGCGACCGGCCACACUGGGACUGAGACACGGCCCAGACUCCUACGGGAGGCAGCAGUGGGGAAUAUUGCACAAUGGGCGAAAGCCUGAUGCAGCGACGCCGCGUGAGGGAUGACGGCCUUCGGGUUGUAAACCUCUUUCAGCAGGGAAGAAGCGAAAGUGACGGUACCUGCAGAAGAAGCGCCGGCUAACUACGUGCCAGCAGCCGCGGUAAUACGUAGGGCGCGAGCGUUGUCCGGAAUUAUUGGGCGUAAAGAGCUCGUAGGCGGCUUGUCACGUCGGAUGUGAAAGCCCGGGGCUUAACCCCGGGUCUGCAUUCGAUACGGGCAGGCUAGAGUGUGGUAGGGGAGAUCGGAAUUCCUGGUGUAGCGGUGAAAUGCGCAGAUAUCAGGAGGAACACCGGUGGCGAAGGCGGAUCUCUGGGCCAUUACUGACGCUGAGGAGCGAAAGCGUGGGGAGCGAACAGGAUUAGAUACCCUGGUAGUCCACGCCGUAAACGUUGGGAACUAGGUGUUGGCGACAUUCCACGUCGUCGGUGCCGCAGCUAACGCAUUAAGUUCCCCGCCUGG